GAUGAACGCUGGCGGCGCGCCUAACACAUGCAAGUCGAACGGUUAAAGCACCUUCGGGUGUGUAUAGAGUGGCGAACGGCUGAGUAACACGUGGGCAACCUGCCCUUUGCAUCGGGACAGCCUCGGGAAACCGUGGUUAAUACCGGAUACUCCAUCUUUCUCACAUGAAAAAGAUGGGAAAGUGUUUAGCGGCAAGGGAUGGGCCCGCGCCCUGUUAGCUUGUUGGUGGGGUAAAAGCCUACCAAGGCAAUGAUGGGUAGCCGGGUUGAGAGACCAACCGGCCAGAUUGGGACUGAGACACGGCCCAGACUCCUACGGGAGGCAGCAGUGGGGAAUCUUGCACAAUGGGCGAAAGCCUGAUGCAGCGACGCCGCGUGCGGGAUGAAGGCCUUCGGGUUGUAAACCGCUUUCAGCAGGGACGAGGCGAAAGUGACGUACCUGCAGAAGA
rnacentral:rRNA from 1 species